CCAAAGGGGACCACGGGGAGGACGGAAUGCGACCGCUUGAUCCGCCAGGCCCCAGGCUGCAAGGUACGCAGACAGGGAGGAUGGUGCUCUUGUGAGUCAAACCUGAGCCUGACUCUUUCUCAGCCCCCAGGUCCCCGGGCUUCUCAGCUCUUCUGCCCAGUUCGCAAAGCUGCCUCGUGCCCCGUCCUUGGGGCCAGGGGAUUGGUGUCUGGCUGCUCCUGCUGGCUCUCUGCUCCUCAGCCCCGUCUGCAGUCAUGAUGAAGACAUCCACUUUGCUGGCACUGGUUUCUGUAGCUGGUGGCCUACCACUUCCCUGGCCUUGUCAAGACUCAGAUCCCUACCUGAAGUACCCGGGUCCCAGCAGCUGCUCUCCGUUUCUGUCCUCAUCCCCAGGAUCAUAAGGGAAAAUCUCAUCCAGACGGGCUGAGCGUGGUUCAGGAGUUGCCGGGUAUGCUAAUCACCGUCAUCACCCAGCCUAGAGAAGCCCAGGGCUGCCCUCACCUGUCUAUUCUUCAGCUUGUCUGGCAGCGAUGACUGAGGGCCAUGCAUGUUCUCAGUGCCUUGGAGGGAAACCUGCAGCCGUGUGACCCGCCCAGGAGACAGUGACCCGGCCUCUCGCCAUCUGCCCUGUUCAGCUGCCCACUGGAGCCCAGGACCUGAAUGGCCCCUGUCUAACCCCAUAGACACAGGCUGGAAGGGGGCGGCUACUGGCCUGCCUGUGGGUUCCCAUAGCCCGAGCCUGAUGGCUUGCUUCCUUGUGCCAAGUCUCCCAGAGCCCCCAAUUCUGCUGGUGCCUCUCAUCCACCAGGGAGCACCUCUGGGCAGCUGUCAGCUUCUGGCCUGACCCAUCCCCUCAGGCCCCUUGUGAGGGACAAGAAAGCCAAAGUCACGGGCCUCCAGAAUUGGCAAUGUGCUUCCAAAUCCUGCCUUUAUCCUCUGGGCAGCUGCCUGCUUUGCUCCAGCCUCUUCCUACAGCAGCCAGGAAAGGGGAAGGCCCAUCAUCUAGUAUCCCUGCAUGUUCGCAAUGCCAGUGGGAAUGUGUGAGCAUGGGUGUGUGUGUGAGUGCAUGUUU